AUCCUAAUGCUCUCCCUCCCCCAACCCUGCUGUGUUUCAUUUUCCUCUCAUAUCUCAUGACCACAUAAUUCCUUCUUCAAUGACAAAUUGUAUUGAAUGCAGUGGCCAGUCUUACAAGUGCUGUAAUCUGAAUGAAAAAAUGAAGCUUUCCACUUGAUCACUCUGGUAUAUUAUUAUUUUUAAAAAGAUGGAAGUUGUCAUAUGACAAUGGAGGCAUUAAUUCUCUAACCUAUUCAAAAACUGUAGCUCAUAUUUGCCAAGAAAACAGAAUGCGAAGCCAUGUUUGUGCUUGAGGCAGGAGGAAGCAGAAGGAGGCCAAAAAGUCGCCUUAAUGUUAAGCAAAACUUUGAAUCAGCAUUUAAAUUAGAUAUGCUUUAACGGCUGAUGUUAUUUGAAAGCUGAAUAGCCAAUGUCAAAAAUAGAUUUUCCUUUCUUUCCAAAGUGCAUAUGGGGUCCAGGAAGGGGCUAAAAUAACCACAUGCCUUUCUUGGACUCCUGACUCUCACCCCCCAAAGGGUUUUCUUGUGUAGGAACCAACAAUUCCUUGGAUGGAAACACUGGAUAGGCUAGUCAUUAUUUUGAGAUUGAAGGGACUGCAGAUUCUUGGCAGACCUCUGUUGUUUUUCUAGAGUUGUAGGCAAGUAGUUGGACAAAAAGCAAGAAGCUGAUCCAUGUUGCUGGCUUUGGAUUCUUUGUGAACAAAUGAGACAAGGCUGCAAAUUCAGAGGAUCCUCCCAGAAGAUGAGAUGGAUCAGGUCACCACAUUCUUUCCCUUCUUCCCUGCUUCACACCCUCAGGCCCCGACUCCUGUCUGCUGAGAUCACUCUCCAAACCAAUCUUCCUUUACAAAGCCCUUGUUGCAGGCUGUGCCUUCUGAGGGGAACCCAGGCCAAGACACUAAAACGAUACACCAACGUGAAGACACGAACACAAACUGCUAAGGGAUUAGUUGGAUUGCAUAUCUCUGUGAAUGGGACUCAAGAGAAGUUUGGGAAAUGCUGGACCAGGUGACCCUUGCAAUCAUGGUGCACAGAAUUAAAACCGUCAAGGUCCCCCAUCCAUCUCUGAAAUGGAUGAGAAUCUGAGUCUUCCACGAAGAACAGUGGGAGAAGAUGCCCAAGCCUUAUUAAACUCAUGGAAUGUCUUUGGGUAUGUGUGACAUCAACAAGAAGCAGCAAAGAAAACAAAAUAUUUUCACAAACAUUCAGAAAUCACCAAAUCUUGUGAGUUGUCUGUACCAUUUGUAGGUUUAAUGAUAAAAUGGCACAUGAUGUUGACCUAUUCCAAGGCAAUUGUUGAUCUCAGCUAGGGUGUAAUCUCUGCCUACAGAUUAAGGCAGAGGAGACCAACGAGGGCUGUUUACUCUGUCAUGAUCCGUCCCAGGGGAGGGUGGGUUUUGGACCAGCUAGGUUAUGGGGGUGGCUGCUGAGGAUUCUGAACAUCUAGUUACCUCCCUGUACCUCUAUCCCAUAUACCCUAGGCCUGGUUCUUCCCUGGAUUGGGCCAUCUUUUUCUGAAGGCAAAUUUUCCACUAGGAGGAAGGUUAGAAAUGCCAGUUCUUGGGUUGCACCCCAGAUCUUUGGCAAUCUGUUGUGACAGAUCUUCCAGGCGACUCUGAUGCUGGCUGAAGUUUGGGAACCAUUGCCCUUGGCAAUGUUCCUGCUCAUCCUGGCUUGCAGGCUUUGGAGGCCUUCACUGUUGAUUGAUUUACACUCCUGUCCACAGAAUGGGCUCAGGAAACAAAAGAUUACUUAAUUAGCUGGGAGGUGAGAAAAAAGGGGCUGGAACUGUGUAGGCAGCCACACAACUUACAAAUAGAUUAUGUUCUGGACUUUGGAAGUCAGCUGUUUGGAAUAGAAGCUGUUUUCCUAGGAAUGGUAGAUAGCUUUUUAUGCCAGCACAUAAAGGCAUAUUUAAUUCCGAACUUGGCUGAAAUACUGCUGUGUCACAAUGAAAAUGAGCAGAUCCCAUUGCUCCUGGAGUAUUAGUACCUAAUCAAAGCAGAACAGAACAAUAAGUGAAACACGGAGAUGGUGUUUUAUGUAUGCUGAUAUUGCUGGUCAAAGGAAAAGGUUGAUUUGGAGAUGGAUUAAGAGAUAAAUUGGGAUAGGUCAAGAUUCAUAAGGUGUUUCUGGCUUUUCUCUAGAAUAUGAUGAUACUCAUUCAUUUAGGCAGACUUUCCUUAACUGUGGUUCUGAACUGUUACCUUUCUUUUUUCUGAAGGCAAAUUUGCCACUAGGAGGGAGGUAAAGAAUUCUGAGACCAAUUGGCAAGGGUUGAAAAGGAGAACAGAAAGAGUAAUGGAAUUAGAGAGAAUGAAGGUGUAUUUAUUAAUUAAUAUGAGCAUCAAUGGAGACAAAAGUAACAUGAGUUGUGAGCAAUGAGAGGUGGAUGGGCAUAGGCCAAGGUUAGGAUUCUCCUCUACUUGGCAAGACAGGAAAGAAAGCAGACCUAUGGGGAGCACAUGGGCUGGGAGCUGCUGUUCUGGAAACCUUCCCUCCCACUGUAUUUGCCUGCCCUUGUACGCAGUUCCAUUUCAUGUCACCCGACUCCUUUCCUCUCCCUGGUUACUGAUAGGGCACAAGAAGAUAAGCUGAGCUGGACCAACUCCCUUUUUCUUCCUAGAGAUUUGAACUGAGAAAUAACCAGAUACAUUUCAGUCCGCGAUGGGAGGAGGUUUGCAGCUGGCCGUGAGCGCUUCCCACGUUCACAAAUCAUGCACUUCUAGUUAGCUUUCUUGUGAUGGCGAAAAUACUUUCUUUUGGGUUUCAUGAUGCAUUUAUUAACCAUUCUAUUUUUGUAUCAUACAAACGAUCAGAGCUGACAGUUGAAUGGCUGGGUUUGGAGAAGUGUGGUAGCCCUAAUGGAAUUAAUUAAUUGAAUAAUAUUGCCUGACAAAUGGCUCCAUUAUACCAAAGAGGGCUUGAGACUUAAUUACUGAUGUCAUUUAUCUCUCUAUUUGCACCCCAACAAUAAGUGACUCAUUUCUCAUUAAUAUUGGGUCAUCUUCCAAAAGGAAGAAAAGAGGCCAAAAUAUCAGGCGGGUGGGUUGGGGGUGAAGCAGUGUCUUUGUUCCCUAUCUCAUUAUUUUGAUAAAUCAUAACAGACUCUGUUAAUUAGGUGGGCAGGCUUAACUGGCUGACUCCUGUCCAACAAUUACCUCAGAAAGGAGCACCGCUGGGAACACGUCCUUCCCUUGGGAGGACAUGAAAAGAAGUCUCUAACAAAAAAGGGAAUCGUUCCCUCGGCCAUGCUGGGGGCAUCACAGUUGUCAAGACACAUUUCUAAGACACGUAAGGGCUGGAGCUGUCUCAGGGACAUCGCCUGUGCAUGAUGGUGAUGUCUGGGGAUCUGAUGCUGCCUUCCUAAUCCAGGGCUGAGAUAACGGUUCUCAGUGCCUUGGAGUCCCCCUGGGAAAUGAGAACCUAAUUAAGCAGGGGAACAGGUGUAAAGAGAACCUGAUUUGAUCUGGCCACAUGAAUUGCUGAGAUUGGGCUUGCAUUUAGCUGGAAACAGUGAAUUAACUACAGCCGGAAUACAGCUAAUCCCUUGGUUUCGCUGCGACUGUGUAUAAAACACACUGGACCUGCUGGGGAACACAAACAAAGAGGGAUUUGCAGCGAAGGUAAAACCACAUCCUUGCAUGGGAAGGGCUGAGAAAUGAAUGUAGCCACAGAGGGUGGCCAUGUGGCCCAGACUCGGCGGCCCAUUUUCCCUACAAAAUUAUCAGUAGCACUGUCUUUUAUUCUCAAAAAAUGUUCCAGUUUGGGUAAUAAAUUAAAUGGUUACUUUAUUUCAAUGAGAAUUUGAAGCUGGUUUAAAAUAUUUUUUUUCUUUACCGGAGGAGUGGUAUUAAAGGUUGAGGAGUUACAGGUUGAAUUUUGUCCCCCUCAACAAAGAUGUUGAAGUCCUGACUCCCAGUAUCUGCAAAUGGGACCUUAUUUGGAAGUGGGGUCUUUGCAGACGAUCCAGUUAAGAUGAGGCCAUUAGGGUGAGCCCUAAUCCGGGAUGACUGGUGGCUUUUAAAAUGGGGGGAAUUUUGGACACAGUCACAGGGAGGGAAUGGUAUGAAGGUGGAAGGCAGAGUCUGGGGCAAUGUUUGUAUAAGCCGAGGAACCCGAGGAUUGCCAGCGACCCCCAGAAGUUAAGGGAGGGGCCUGGAACAGAUUCUCUCCCAGAGCCCUCAGAACAAACCCUGCCAACAUCUUGGUCUCAUACUUCUGGCCUCCAGAACUGUUCAGCAAUAAACAUCUGUUGUUUAAGCCA